rnacentral:rRNA from 1 species
AACGAACGCUGGCGGCAGGCUUAACACAUGCAAGUCGAACGCCCCGCAAGGGGGGUGGCAGACGGGUGAGUAACGCGUGGGAACAUACCCUUCUCUACGGAAUAGCUCUGGGAAACUGGAAUUAAUACCGUAUACGCCCUACGGGGGAAAGAUUUAUCGGGGAAGGAUUGGCCCGCGUUGGAUUAGCUAGUUGGGGGGGUAAAGGCCUACCAAGGCGACGAUCCAUAGCUGGUCUGAGAGGAUGAUCAGCCACAUUGGGACUGAGACACGGCCCAAACUCCUACGGGAGGCAGCAGUGGGGAAUAUUGGACAAUGGGCGCAAGCCUGAUCCAGCCAUGCCGCGUGAGUGAUGAAGGCCUUAGGGUUGUAAAGCUCUUUCACCGGAGAAGAUAAUGACGGUAUCCGGAGAAGAAGCCCCGGCUAACUUCGUGCCAGCCGCCGCCGUAAGAC